rnacentral:tRNA from 1 species
GGGGUUGUGGCUCCGAGGUGGAGCGCUUGCUUAGCAUGCAUGAGGCACUGGGUUCGAUCCUCAGCACCACA